UACGUAGGGUGCAAGCGUUAAUCGGAAUUACUGGGCGUAAAGCGUGCGCAGGCGGUUAUGUAAGACAGAUGUGAAAUGCCCGGGCUUAACCUGGGAACUGCAUUUGUGACUGCAUGGCUAGAGUUUGGCAGAGGGGGGUAGAAUUCCACGUGAUAGCAGUGAAAUGCGUAGAUAUGUGGAGGAACACCGAUGGCGAAGGCAGCCCCCUGGGUCAAGACUGACGCUCAUGCACGAAGGCGUGGGACAAGGAGGAU
rnacentral:rRNA from 1 species